rnacentral:rRNA from 1 species
CAGGUGGUGGAUGGCUGGGCUCCCGAGCCGACGAAGGGCGUGCCAAGCUGCGAUAAGCCCGGGCGAGGCGCAUGGAGCCGUCGAACCCGGGAUCCCCGAAUGGGACCUCCUGCGGGCUUCGGCCCGCGCUCCCAUAAGACUGGGCUUAGCCCAGUCUGAGGGAGCGGGAACCCCCUGAAUUGAAACAUCUUAGUAAGGGGAGGAAAAGAAAGCAAAACGCGAUGCCGGGAGUAGGGGCGACCGAAACCGGCAGAGCCCAAACCGAACCCUGUGGCGACGAGUCACAGGGGAUGUGGAGUGGUCUGGACCGGGGCACUCCCUCGCCAGGCGAGCCGAAGUCCCCUGGAAUGGGGCGCCAUAGAGGGUGAUAGCCCCGUAGGCGAAGCCUGGAAGGGAGAUUCCCGGGAUCCCGAGUACGCGUGCUUGGAUAUGCACGCGGAAGACGGGGGACAUCAACCCCCAAGGCUAAAUACUCCGGGAGUCCGAUAGCGGACUAGUACCGUGAGGGAAAGCUGAAAAGAAGGGGUAAUACCCAGUGAAAAGAGCCUGAAACCACCUGGGAAUAGUCAGCCAUGGCCCAAAAGCGCCCUGGGUGAAGAGGCUUAUGCCUCGAGCUCAGGGCUUGCAGGGUCAUGGCGUACGUUUUGAAAAACGGGGCAGGGAGUGUGGCUCAGUGGCGAGGUUAAGGGCUCUACGCCCGAAGCCGGAGCGAAAGCGACAAGCCCGCAGCCUCGCUUUUUGCGAGGCGAGGGGCGGGGUCCGAAAGGGCCUGAAGUCACUGGGCCACGACCAGAAGCCGCUCGAUCUAGCCCUGGGCAGGGUGAAGUCCCGCGAAAGCGGGAUGGAGGCCCGCUAGGGGUGGUGCCCCAACGCCCUCCCGUGACCCGGGGCUAGGGGUGAAAAGCCAAUCGAGAGCGGCGAUAGCUGGUUCCCCCCGAAAUGCGUCACAGCGCAGCCUCCCCGGAGGUAGCGGGCGGUGUAAAGCACUGAUUGG